AAUGUGGUCAGCAAAGUUUUUGCCCUUUGGCAGUUCGUUAGCGUCCUCAUACAUGAGCUUUGCUUGGGAUGAAAACUUAGAAUAGAGUGGCACUGACUAAAUUGGGGUGAAAAAACUCUGCUAGGGGAAGUCCGAGGUAGUUGGAAAAGAGAUGCACUGUGCUGCAACAUAAACAUCUACAAACAGAAUCUUGAUUAUAACAACUAAAAACAACAAGUAAGAAUAUAUUAACU
rnacentral:lncRNA from 1 species